rnacentral:lncRNA from 1 species
UACUCUGAGUAGAUAUCAGUCAAUUUAGCUAAUUUCUUUUCCUUUCUUUUCAUUUGCGUUAACAGAUGAAAGUAGAGAGAUCUGCAGUACUGAUGAAAAUUCACUAAACAAUUUGCUAGGAAUUGUGAACACUAGGUUAAAUAGGAACCACAAUAAAAGGCAUUUAGCUUUGAAAUUGUCCUUGGUUUCCACAGUUCAAGGUCUAAGCGAAGGAGACGAUAAAAAAUUUCACAGAUAUAACAAAAGUAUUGAUUUUCUCAUCAACUAGUUGUAUAUGUCCUGG